CACCGCCCGUCACAUCACGAAAGUAGGUUGUACUAGAAGUAGCUGGGCCAACUCGCAAGAGAGGCAGGUUACCACGGUAUGAUUUAUGAUUGGGGUG
rnacentral:rRNA from 1 species